ACAUACGCAUGCAAAGGGAUUUAAAAACAACAUUGCAGCUAAAUUCUCAUUCAACCAUCACAUCGUUUGCAUCAAAAAUAUUAAGAGUGCAUUGGAUUGUAUGUACAGUACUUAUUUGUACAGUUUUAAUUACAGAACAAUUGCACCACAAAAAACACAGCCUAGUAUGUGUCUGUUUUAUAGAGAUUCGACUGAAGCAUCAUCCUUAAGUUAGUUGCUAGACAGUGGGGGUGGGGUUUGGUCUCUCUUUUUUACAACCCAGGACAGGUGUGCAGGAUUCGGGCUCGGGAUCAGGUGUGGGGGUCACAACUCAGGACAGGUGUGCAGGAUUCGGGCUCGGGAUCAGGCGUGGGGGUCACAACUCAGGACAGGUGUGCAGGAUUCGGGCUCGGGAUCAGGCGUGGGGGUCACAACUCAGGACAGGUGUGUAGGACUCGGGAUCAGGCGUGAAGUGGGGGGGGG